GUGUCAUCCAGAUGGAACUUUCCUUCCCCCACCACCACAACAUCUACACUGUGUCAUCCAGAUGGAACUUUCCUUCCCCCACCACCACAACAUCUACACUGUGUCAUCCAGAUGGAACUUUCCUUCCACCACCACCACAACAUCUACACUGUGUCAUCCAGAUGGAACUUUCCUUCCACCACCACCACAACAUCUACACUGUGUCAUCCAGAUGGACCUUUCCUUCCCCCACCACCACAACAUCUACACUAUGUAAUCCAGAUGGAACUUUCCUUCCCCCACCACCACAACAUCUACACUGUGUAAUCCAGAUGGAACUUUCCUUCCCCCACCACCACAACAUCUACACUGUGUAAUCCAGAUGGACCUUUCCUUCCCACCACCACAACAUCUACACUAUGUAAUCCAGAUGGAACUUUCCUUCCCCCACCACCACAACAUCUACACUGUGUAAUCCAGAUGGAACUUUCCUUCCCCCACCACCACAACAUCUACACUAUGUAAUCCAGAUGGAACUUUCCUUCCAACCACCACAACAUCUACACUGUGUAAUCCAGAUGGACCUUUCCUUCCCCCACCACUACAACAUCUACACUGUGUCAUCCAGAUGGACCUUUCCUUCCCCCACCACCACAACAUCUACACUGUGUCAUCCAGAUGGAACUUUCCUUCCCACCACCACAACAUCUACACUGUGUCAUCCAGAUGGAGCUUUCCUUCCCC
rnacentral:lncRNA from 1 species